rnacentral:rRNA from 1 species
UACGUAGGGGGCUAGCGUUGUCCGGAAUCAUUGGGCGUAAAGCGCGCGUAGGCGGCCCGGUAAGUCCGCUCUGAAAGUCCAGGGCUCAACCCUGGAAUGCGGGUGGAUACUGCCGGGCUAGAGUCCGGAAGAGGCGAGUGGAAUUCCUGGUGUAGCGGUGAAAUGCGUAGAGAUGUGGAGGAACACCAGUGGCGAAGGCGACUCUUUGGUCUGUAACUGACGCUGAGGCACGAAAGCGUGGGGAGCAAACAGG